rnacentral:rRNA from 1 species
GACGAGCGCUGGCGGCGUGCUUAACACAUGCGAGUCGAACGGAAAGGCCCUGCUUUUGUGGGGUGCUCGAGUGGCGAACGGGUGAGUAACACGUGAGUAACCUGCCCUUGACUUUGGGAUAACUUCAGGAAACUGGGGCUAAUACCGGAUAGGAGCUCCUGCUGCAUGGUGGGGGUUGGAAAGUUUCGGCGGUUGGGGAUGGACUCGCGGCUUAUCAGCUUGUUGGUGGGGUAGUGGCUUACCAAGGCUUUGACGGGUAGCCGGCCUGAGAGGGUGACCGGCCACAUUGGGACUGAGAUACGGCCCAGACUCCUACGGGAGGCAGCAGUGGGGAAUAUUGCACAAUGGGCGGAAGCCUGAUGCAGCAACGCCGCGUGUGGGAUGACGGCCUUCGGGUUGUAAACCGCUUUCGCCUGUGACGAAGCGUGAGUGACGGUAAUGGGUAAAGAAGCACCGGCUAACUACGUG